GAUGAAGAACGUAGCGAAAUGCGAUAAGUAAUGCGAAUUGCAGAAUUCAGUGAGUCAUCGAAUCUUUGAACGCACAUUGCGCCCGCCAGUAUUCUGGCGGGCAUGCCUGUCCGAGCGUCAUUUCAACCCUCGAACACCUCCGGGGGGUCGGCGUUGGGGAUCGGCCCUUUACGGGGCCGGCCCCGAAAUACAGUGGCGGUCUCGCCGCAGCCUCUCCUGCGCAGUAGUUUGCACACUCGCAUCGGGAGCGCGGCGCGUCCACAGCCGUUAAACACCCCAAACUUCUGAAAUGUUGACCUCGGAUCAGGUAGGAAUACCCGCUGAACUUAAGCAUAUCAAUAAGCGGAGGA
rnacentral:misc_RNA from 1 species